GAAAAUUCAAAUUAGAAGCAAAAAGUGAAGUUGAGUCAUUGAUCAUCGUCUUGAUUCCUGAUUUCAGUUUUUUCUAUCUUAAUUUCCAUCCAUGGAGAUCCCCACCAAAGUAGUGAAGUUCAGAUUCCACAUUGCAGUAACCCUAAUCCUCUGUUUAACUCUCUUCUCCCUCAUCCUUCUCGCUCCAAGAUUCCUCUCGCUCCUCGCUUACUUUUGGCCUCUCUUCCUCUCCACCGCCGUCUUCCUCCUCGCCGUCCUCCUCUUCGCCAACACCUCCCUUCCGCCGCCUGAUAAAGCCGCCGAAGGCCUCCUCAACUAUGUCGCCGGCCACCACGACCACCACCACAUCGACGCCUCUCUCAAAUCCGAUUAAUCAAUCACACGGUUAUUCUUCUUCU
rnacentral:misc_RNA from 1 species